rnacentral:lncRNA from 1 species
AUUACGUACGAUUCUUUAAGUUUAAAUAUAUAUAUCUUUUUCUCCCUUCUCCCCAAGAAAAGAGAAAAAUCUUCAAUCUUCGUUAUUUCUUCAUUAUCCAUUAAUCCAUUAAAUUUCCACAGGUAUAUCCGAUUUCCAAGGGUAUUUCGUAAUUAACGAUCGAAUGGAGGAGGGAAAGGAGGGAACGUGUCACGAAUUUGCAGGAAAAUUGGCAAAGGGGAUGAACGAAGGAGAUGCGCGUAGUGUUCUGCUGUUGUUGCAGGAGAUAGGAGGAAAUGUUGGUCGGUUUCGCAAGGCGCACACAGCUCGAGCGAGCUACUCUCAUUUCCAGGCGCGCGCGUGACAGGUUAGGAGUCUACUCUCGAGUAGACGAUGUCCGUCCGUCUCUCCUCUCCGGCCCACCCCGGUUUUCCUUUUCCAGCGAUCCGACACUGAACUCGAUCGUUGAUCUCAUUCAGGGUCGAGUGUUCCUCGAGUUCCUCGAGUUACUACGUUCCGUUUUCUUGUUGCCGCCCAUCUCGUUUCUCUCCGCCAUGUCUAGGCCGAUUCCCAUUGUGCGACCAGACUACUUCUUCGUCUUCGUAUCACCAUUUAUGACGCGAAAUUGUAUCAUCUCGAUUGAUUCUAUUCCGCGAUAUCGUGGAAAUAUUUUCAGAGAUUUUUUUUUUUUUUUAGAAUUUUAUGUUUGAUGGAGUUUGAAUAUAAGUACUCAAAAUUCAUUUCGUAUACGCAAAUUUUUAUUAUCAGAAUUUUUGAGUUAGGUAAAUUUUUUUGUAUCGAUUCUUGUACCUUUUUUUUUUAUUCUUUUCAUUUUUAUAUCUUGUAUUAAAUUCAACUUAUCGGUGAUUUUGAUUAACUUAUCAGUGGGAUAAGUUUGAGCAUAAAUUUUUAUCCAUUGAACGUGUAAAAUUUUCCACUUCAAUGUAACAUUUAUUCGAUAAUGUAACUUUCCUUCGCUGUCGUAAAAAAUAAUAGAAAGAAUGUCCGAUCUCACAGUCGACUUCUUUCUCCCCUCCCCCCUCUCUUCUUUAAAAUAAAAAAAGAAUAUUAAAUUAUUCUAAAAAUAAUAUAGAUAUAACGUAUUCGAUUCACGUGGACGGGAAUACAAUGGUUACAGGCAUUCUAAUGGCCAGAGUUAUUUUACAAGGUACACAGAACGCGUGUAAUGAAACAGGAAGUGGAGGAAGAUAAAAGAAAUAAGAGCAUAAAGAGUGAAAGUAAAUAUUCCACCGUUGAAAGUACGUAAACCUGAUCUUUUAGAGCUCAUAAAAUUGUAAAGUCUUUACCCAAAAAAGUUUUUGGAAACAAUUCUCGUGUAUUAUAUGGGAUACUAUAUUUAAUAAAUCGAUUAUUUCAACAAGGGAUUAACAUUUUUCAUCGACCGAUGUAUCCGUUUUAAGAUUCCUGAACGUACAUUUUAAUACGCACAAGAUAUUUUUUUCUCUCUUUUUUAUUUGAUUACACGCUUCGAAAAAAUAUUGUCGUGAUAGAAUGCAAAUCAAUUUUUUCCUUGUUUUUUUUUUUUUCGGAUAUCUUAUGAAAAAUAAUCGAUUAACAUAUAUUACAAUGAAAGUCAAAGGAAAUGUCAUCGAAGCGGAAGUUGCACAUCAGUUGCCCACGAGUUUGUUGCCUUUUCGAACCUUAUGAGAUUCACAAUGGAACAGUGGUUCUCAAUCAUUUCCUUAUCGAUACUUUCAAAUUAUUAUUAAGGAAACUUGUUUCUAAAAUUGUUUUCACCACGAAUUAAUACUUGAAUCCUAUUAUAUUGAACUAUUCAAUAAUUUUCAAUCCUUGAUUGACGUAUUCCUCUAAUUUCAAUGUGUACUCAUAAAGUUAUUGCAAUCGAUUUAUAUUUCGGUUGAGUCGCACGGUUCGAUAAAGAUUUUAUUAUCGUUUCAAUUCUCUUAUCGUCUCUUGUAAGAUAGAUAAGAUGUAUAUAAGAUAGACGAAAGUAUAACUUCAAAAUAAGUAUCAAAAAUAAAUGGAAUAAAUUUUUUCCAUCUUUCAAAUUCUUAUUAGAUCCAAUGUAUAUCCUCCGUGCAAAAUCAUAUUUUCCAUAUUGUAAAAAUUUUUAAUUCUUCGUCCAUCAUUUAUCACAUUUCAUCGAACUUGAAAAAAAAUCCCAACGAAAUCUGUUAAUUUUAACGCGCCUUGAAACUUGUUCUGAAAGCAUAUAACGUAAAACUGAAUAUGCGGAGGAAACUUGCGUGAUAAAAAUCUAUUCCUCGAAGAAAAGUACAGUUUUUUAUAUAAAACCGUAGGAAGAUAUAAGAAUAAUUCAUCCUCUCGCUCGUUCUCAAUUACAUCGCAAUCUUUUGAAAUCAAAUUUAUUAAAAAAGAAAAAAAAAAUUUUCCAACGCCAACCGGAUCGGAUUACUUUAUUGUUUCAUCAGGAGAAUCAUCAAGAUCUCGUUAACUCUUCGCCAAAUGAAAUUCACCGUUAGACCUGUUUCCAGAUAUACUCCUUCGUUAUUCUAGAGAAAAAUAAAAUAAAAAUAAUAAUAGAAAAGAAAAAACCAUCCUCGGUAACAACGAAAACUAACUCUUCCAUUGUUCAUUCCGUGUAUAAUAAUAAUAAUAAUCUUUGGUACGAUCUAAAAAAAUUACCGAAACGUUCUUAUUGUAUAAUUCACGACGUAUUAACAAUCCUUAAUCGCGAUCUGAAUUGUUAAUUAACGAAACUCCUUGGCAACAAUUUAAACGCGUUUCACACAUAUUUUAUUUUCGGUUGCGCAAACGUUUAUUAUUAACAACGCGAGGGGGAUGAAACGAAAGGAUAAAGAUCCAUAUUCGCAUAUUUCGCUUUAUAAUGAAUCUAUCGUUUGUUUGAACACGUUCGAAGACAAACAGUUCGGCAACCGUUUACCGAAGAAAUAUCGGUUUGUUUAUAAAACCUUCCAAAAUUGGUUGGUCGAACAAGAAUUUUUAUGAGCACUUUA